AUAUAAAAAUAAGAAAAUAUCAUAAGACCUUUAACAAAAUUCGUUAGAAGUAGAUGGUAUCAAAAAGAAAGGCUCUACAAAAAGAAGUGAGAUCCCAUCAAAAACAUCCUGUAAAAAACCCAAGUCUCGCAACUCAGUCUUUCUACCGUCAAAAGUUGUGAGAUCCAUGUAAUACCAAGUCGGUUAAUCUAUUUAGUGUCUACUUGAAGGACCUUCUGUCUUAAGUUAUUACAUAAGUUAUUAUCAUGCCAAUAUUAAAAAUAUUUAACGUUUUAAACAAAUAGAUCGACUUGGACAUCGCAUGAAAACAAAAUGAAUAUUACAAUAUUAUAUUAGAUUCUUUAGUCUCUCGCGCCUCACGCGAUUGAAACUCUCGUUCCUGUUGGUCGCUGGCCCGUCGUGCUGUGUAGUGUGAUACAUACUAAUAAUCAAAUCAAGCGAUGUCCAAGUCGAUCUAUUUGUUUAAAACGUUAAAUAUUUUUAAUAUUGGCAUGAUAAUAACUUAUGUAAUAACUUAAGACAGAAGGUCCUUCAAGUAGACACUAAAUAGAUUAACCGACUUGGUAUUACAUGGAUCUCACAACUUUUGACGGUAGAAAGACUGAGUUGCGAGACUUGGGUUUUUUACAGGAUGUUUUUGAUGGGAUUUUGUUUUUCAUAAUAAUAUAAUCGUUCUCCGUUAACAUAAACCCUCAUUACCUUUAUAACUAGGUACACAUUAAUAUAUUUUAUUUUAUUUAACUUAUUUCACUACCAUUGUCGUAAGGUACAUACAUUACAUAAUACACAUGUGAGCACAUUACAUUUAUACAGGACUCUCCGGUACCUGCUUUUCAUUUUAUUUAUUUCAUUAUAUUAUUCACCAUUCUUCAUUUCAUUAUAUUUAUGCUCACUUUAUUCAUUUAUUUUAUAAUUUAGUGUCAAUAUUUAAGGUUUCUAUUAACCUCCAAUAGAUUCUCACAGAGAGAGCUCGUCUGCACCAUGAUCGAACUAAGGACAUGACCACUAAACUGUACCUUACCAUGUGUACCUAUUAUAUUUAUUAAUUACUUAUCAUUUAACUAUCACAAACCAACAUAACACAAUCUAAUUGAAUUGCUUGGUUGACAAAAUUAUACGUUGUCCUUAGGUGAUCAGCCUUCAGUCACACGCCAAAACUUGUGUACCAAGUCAUUCCAAAUUAUCUAAAACCCAAACUUACAAACGUUUACAAACAAUGAACACAUUCCAAAGCUUUGUUGAUAUCAAAUUUCAUUCAUUUAAUUAUUAAUUUCAUAAGACAAAACCAAAGUGCAGUUGUUAUUGUUACUCGGUGUCAAGUAACAUGAUUCUUCCAAUACAAUCUGACACUCGGUAUGACAUCAUCUACCUAUAUGGGCAUGGGAACAUUCCUUCAAUCCCUAUUAUUCAUGCUAUGCAUACUAUAUAAUUACAAAAUUUUACAUUAUUUCGGCAGAAAAAAAAAAUAUUACUUACAGAAUUUACUAUACAAAAAAAAAUACUGAUUGUCAACAGGCGUGAACUAUACUAUUAACUUAGUAUAAGUACUUACUAUUACAAUAAUAUAAAAAAAUAAAAUUAUGUAGAUAAAUCUAAAUUAAAAAUAAUAUCUUAAUAUUAAACCCUAAUUAUUAUUAUACCAUUUUUUUUUCACAUUUUGGUGUCCACUUUCACUCACUUAUCACUUAAAAAAACAACACUAUUUGAGUCCGGUUACUCCAUACUGCGUGGCCAGGGUAGCGGAGAUAAUCUCGGACGCUCCCUGGUGGCCAACAUCUCCCGGCUCCAUCCCAUGCGACACCUACUGCUCCCGGCAGGUCCACAUCUGGCUGCAUCGACACCCGGCAGCCAGCAAAACAUCUUCACUAUUUCACACUUUUUCACUACUUUUAGCCCACUAAUCUGGGGGCACGGUAGUGCCCCCGCCAAGACGAGCCAAGCGAAGCGCAAGCGCAAGGGCACUACCUACCUUUUCUCGAAGCGCUUCGUCGUAUUUUUGAACCUUCAUAACUUGAGUUUGGGUUAUACCAGAUAAACAAAAUUUUCAGGAUAUAAUGUCAGUGGUAAACUUAAUAAACCUCUAAAGUUUCAAUUGCAUAGCUCUUAUACUUUAGAUUUUAUUGAUAUCUAAAAUACCCCGAUUUCGUCACUCACUCACUGAUGAUCAACAAAAUUCUUAAGGUACUUCCUGAAGUCCUAGAAAACUGAAAUUUGGUAUGUAAGCUAGUAUUAGUACCCAAACAACAAAAAAAUCCUAAAACUUGGAACUUUUACCCCCAACCCCUUAAACUAGGGGGUGAAAGUUUGUUCGAGACUUCCGCAACUUUUGACGCUAGAGGUCUGAAUGCGGCCGCGGAGGGGUAAAAAUCUGAAAUAGGGAAACUUAAUUCCCUAUUUCCUGCUUGAGAUCUGAAAAUUAUACACAAGUACAUAGAACACAAACUUUUCAUCAAAUCAAAACAUUAUCCUACCCAUAAGUACUUAGAUAUGAAUAAUAUUACUACACUUCACUUCGGUAAGUGUUUAUUAAUAAACCUAUACUUUUGAACAUAAGCAUCGUAAGUAUAGUAUGCGCCAACGCCCGCCGCCUGCCCCCUCGUCCCCGCGCAGUAGUUAAAAAUAAUCGGCCCGUCAGCGAGCGCGGCACCCGAACGCGGGCAGACGCGCGAGGGCAGACGUCGUUGACGGUUGUCUCGUUGAAUGAAAAAUUUUCGGAAUAUUUCGGUGAUUUAAAAGUUUGCUAUCGCGGAGAAAAAAACCAUUUGCCUAAUAUUUAAUUGUUAGUAGUUUAGUAGGUGAAGGUUUAGUUAGGUACUAGUGUUUUAAUUUUCAUUGAUAAAAAGUAUUAGCAUUACGUUUGCAAUUUUCUCACAAAUUUAAUUAAGAAAUUCAAAGAUUGAAUAAGUAGGUAUUUGCAAUUAAGUAGUAUAGGUUAGUAGGUAUAAUAUGUUUAUAGUUGUUUAUGUAGGUACGACUUAGUGAGAAUAAUUUGAUACGUAGGUCAUUGU